rnacentral:lncRNA from 1 species
UUGAGCUCUUCUAAAAUUGACACCUCCUCCUCCUAAUUGGCAACCUUCUCUAUUGAUCUAGAUCUACUCCUAUGUCCACAACCAAUAAUUUAUUUUUGCUAUAACCCUCACCUUUUUCUUCUUAGAUUCUUCCACUUACCUUCUAAUUAAAUCACAAUUCGAUCUUUUAUGUAAUUCCAACACAAAUUGCUAUUAUAUCCCACAAUUUCUACUUUUCUCCUUAGCACAAAACUCUCUAAGCAGCAUACAUGUCCUUGACCACAU